ACAUUCUAAUGCCCAACCAGCAGACCUUCUUACCCUCCCUGCCCCUGUGCUAAGUGCCCAGCUGGGGAGGGAAGGGGAGAGAGGCUGAGGCUGGCAGGGGAGGCUCACAGAAGGGUGCAUGGCGUCAACCGCAGCAGUGGGUGCUCAUGCCGGGAGGGACAGAACGGACAACCAAGGAGCACUCUAGCUUCCCGGAGCUGUGGGAUGAGCUCGUCAAUGGCUUCCCCGGUGGAAUACACCUACAGGCCACAGGCCCAGAACACAUACAGACCACCCCCCAACUUAUGGUGUUCCCUUGAAAGUGUGAGGCAGCGUAUGAGCCGAGGAGGAGGGGACCAAGGUUGUGAAGUUAAACUCCACAUUGUCGAAGACCCCUGUGAACAGAUGUGAAUGGAUUCUCAGGCUGCCUAUGGACCAUGAGACUGCUUUGUGUGAGUCAAGGGAACAAGGACAAACAGAGCCAAAAUCAAGACAAGACACCACUUACCCUUCCAACUUCCACAGGGUGGCUGAGGGGGUUAAAUAAAAGCCACUAUUUCCCGACGGAGAUGGCAGCCCCGCCCACCCGAGGGGCUGGCAUGCCAGUCUAGGCAGUCGUGUUCCACAAACUGACUUGCUGCCCUGGCAGGCGCCUCGCUGCAUAACCGCAGAUUUGUUUUAAUCACUGGACAGCUCCUGAGGGACCCCGGCCCCCAAUUCCCACCCCUGUAAUCUUUAGAAUCUGGUGAAAAGAACUUGGAUUAGA